rnacentral:rRNA from 1 species
UCGAGAAUCUUCCGCAAUGGGGGAAACCCUGACGGAGCGACGCCGCGUGCGGGAGGAAGGCCUUCGGGUUGUAAACCGCUGUCACGGAUUAAGAAAUGGCCGGGCGUUAACAGCGCUCGGUCUUGACAAAGGUCCGGGAGGAAGCCACGGCUAACUUCGUGCCAGCAGCCGCGGUAAGACGAAGGUGGCGACCGUUGUUCGGAAUUACUGGGCAUAAAGCGCACGUAGGCGGCAAUGUAAGUCAGGUGUGAAAUCCCCCGGCCCAACCGGGGAAUUGCGCUUGAUACUGCGUUGCUUGAGGGCAGGAGGGGACCGUGGAAUUCCUGGUGGAGCGGUGAAAUGCGUUGAUAUCAGGAGGAACACCGGCGGCGAAGGCGACGGUCUGGCCUGCUUCUGACGCUGAGGUGCGAAAGCCAGGGGAGCAAACGGGAUUAGAUACCCCGGUAGUCCUGGCCGUAAACGAUGGGCACGUAGGUAGGGGGGUUCCCAAUGCCUCCCUGCUGGAGAGUAAUUCGUUAAGUGCCCGCCUGGGGAG